GCCCUCGUAGCUCAGUGGAUAGAGCGCCGGCCUCCGGAGCCGGGUGCGCAGGUUCGAGUCCUGCCGAGGGCACCA
rnacentral:tRNA from 1 species